AUUGAACGCUGGCGGCAGGCUUAACACAUGCAAGUCGAGCGGGGUGAUGGUGCUUGCACUAUCACUUAGCGGCGGACGGGUGAGUAAUGCUUAGGAAUCUGCCUAUUAGUGGGGGACAACAUCUCGAAAGGGAUGCUAAUACCGCAUACGUCCUACGGGAGAAAGCAGGGGAUCACUUGUGACCUUGCGCUAAUAGAUGAGCCUAAGUCGGAUUAGCUAGUUGGUGGGGUAAAGGCCUACCAAGGCGACGAUCUGUAGCGGGUCUGAGAGGAUGAUCCGCCACACUGGGACUGAGACACGUCCCAGACUCCUACGGGAGGCAGCAGUGGGGAAUAUUGGACAAUGGGGGGAACCCUGAUCCAGCCAUGCCGCGUGUGUGAAGAAGGCCUUAUGGCUGUAAAGCACUUUAAGCGAGGAGGAGGCUACUUUAGUUAAUACCUAGAGAUAGUGGACGUUACUCGCAGAAUAAGCACCGGCUAACUCUGUGCCAGCCGCCGCAGUAACAC
rnacentral:rRNA from 1 species